ensembl:lncRNA
GCAGGCCCUGUGCAUGACUGUGAUAGGGAGCGAGGUUCCUGGAGGCUCCAGGGCCGGGCGCCUGCUGGGGAGGCCCCACGGCCACUCUCUCUGCUGGCAUGGGGCACCGAGGCUGGGGUGUCCAGAUGUGCGGGCCCUGCCUGCACGCGGGGCUGGGGUGGUGGGGCCGGUCCAUGUCGCAGCACGCGAUUUCUGCCUGGCUCUGCGUCCUCGGGCUGUGGAGGGAGCAUCCCGGUGUCGGUGUCCCCCUGAGAGGUGCCCUUCUCGUAUUUGGGUCCCCGGUGCCAGCCCAGUUCUCAUCGACAGGAGAGAAGGCCGUGCGCAGACUCGGUGGAUGUUAGACAGCCUCGGAAGAGCCAAGAGUCCUCACCGUUCUGGACAGUGUCGCUGUUGGGGUGUGGCGUCCUGGCUCAGAGCUCCGCAUUCCUGUCCACCUGCGGCUGUCACCUUCACGAUGGUUCUGUGGGGCUGCGAGCUCCUGACCAUCUCAUCGCGUCUCCCAGAGCGGCUAGGCUGGAGCACUGAUGUGUCCAACAAGGUUUCAUUUCACACGAGGUUCUUCAUGCUUCUUUAUAUUACAGCUGGGGUGUGACAUACGGGGAUUUUAAAAAGUUAUGUGAGUAUAUAGGUUACAGCAUCCAUGGGCUACCUUUCAGAGUAUUAAGAAGGAUAUGACGUAUUUUUAACAUAAAAGGAAGGGGUCGGGGUGAGAGUGCUGGGACCUGGGGUUUCGAGCUCCAACGAAGUUGUAAAAAUUCGGACGUCGAUGUCAGGGGCUCAGGACACAUUUGACAGGUGAACGAAUGAAUGCCUGGGGACAUAUUGUUGAAGGGGCUCUUUGAUGCCUUCAUGUACCACCCACAGGUGACCUCUUGUCUGGGCCCGCGUGAGGUAUUCUGCCCCCAGUUCCAGAACCUUCUAAGUUCCAGAACCAGCUAAGCACGAGACCGCCUUGGUCCUGGUAGCCAGCUCCUGGCUGGGUCAGAAGCUGCUCAGGAGAACUUUGUCCCUCCCCACGGGGUCCCUGAGCAGAUCUGAAGGCCCAGCCCGAGCUGGACCAGGCCCGCGGUCCUGCCAUCAGGGACCCUGCAGCUUCCGGGAUGCGAGCGGGACUCCCGGCCAGUCGGAGGGAGAAAUACUUGUCAAAAGAUCUCCAAACUGGGCGGGAGCAUGGACGCUUCUGCCCCUCUGUUCCUUCCUGCCCAGGGCGGGUAGCAUGGUCGACAGUCCAGCACGGCCCCUCCACAUCGGUGCUGGACACCCAGUCCACUCACUGAGCGUCUUCUUCUUUCCUUUGCUAACCCCACAUCACUCUAUUACUCUGUAAUUUGUUUUUAUGCUAAAUAACGUGUUUGGGACAAUUUUCCCGGGCUGCGCAUACACACCAGCUGCUGGUCAUUCUGGAGAUACCCCUCCAUCUAUUUGUCUUUAAGUUUUUCUGUUAAACUGUUUUUUCCCAUGGAAAGAAUACAUGCAUGUGGUUAAAAAAUAAUAAAAAGCAAAUGUCUCUAUUUUCCCAAACCCUCCAAGUUUGCUUCUCAUUUUUCGGAAUGAAACUUUAAGAAAUACACUCCUAGCACAACCAGAAGGACCUACCAUGAGAAUAUACGGCUAUGUACUGAGGGGGGCUUUGGGGAAAAGAAGGAAAAGAAAAAAAAAA